UGCCAUUCCUAUGGCAGCACAUGCUUGAGGCUCUAUCCCCAGGGUGAUAGAGAUGUCUGUCCAUAUCUAUCUCCAAGGUUCCUGUCCUUGAGUCCAGGCCCAGAGGUGAGGCUGAGAAGUGGCGUGGAGGUGAGCCCAGAGCUGUCCCUGAGGUGAGGCUAAGAAUAAGUGCAAGGCAGAGGUGCUGCUGAGGAAGGAGAGCCCCGUGGUGGGGAAGAGGCAAAGGUGCCCAUCCCCGAGAAGGUGCUGUGUCCAUCCCCUGUGUGCCAGGAUUUGUCCUUCCCAAAGCUUGGGCGGAUGG